UCCUGGGGCCUGGGGGCGCGGUGUGGCGCUGUGCGGGGCCGCCGCCCGGCUCGAGCUCGGGGUCAUGGAGGAGCACGGGGGGGAGGAGCCGGCGGCGGGCGACUUCGAGCUGCUCGUGAGGAAUCAGCGCAGGGAGAAGCGGGAGCUGCAAGCGAAAAUUCAAGGUAUGAAAAAUGCUGUUCCUAAGAAUGACAAAAAGAGAAGAAAACAAUUGAUUGAUGAUGUUGCCAAACUGGAGGCAGAAAUGGAACAGAAGCACAAGGAAGAACUGAAGCAGCUAAAGGAAACUUUACCUGAGCAGAAUAAGCUAGAUUCUGUGGCUGAUAGUAUUGCAAGUUUUCAGCUUGAGGAAAGAGAGCAACAGAUACAGCAACCUCGAAUAUCAAAAGCACAGAAAAGGCGGGAAAAGAAAGCUGCAUUGGAGAAGGAAAGAGAAGAAAGGAUAGCUGAAGCUGAGAUAGAAAAUUUAACAGGAGCCAGACAUCUUGAAAGUCAAACGCUUGCCCAGAUAUUGGCAACAAGGCAGUUAGAGAUGAAACAGAUUCCAUCAGAUGGCCACUGCAUGUACCGAGCUAUUGAAGACCAGCUCAAGAAUCAGCAAAACUCCUGGACUGUUGCAACUCUGAGAAGUCAAACUGCAGAGUAUAUGCAAAGUCAUGUUGAUGAUUUCCUGCCGUUUCUAACAAAUCCCAACACGGGAGACAUGUAUAGCCGAGGGGAGUUUGAAAAGUACUGUGAUGAUAUAGUCAACACAGCUGCAUGGGGUGGUCAGCUGGAACUAAGGGCUCUAUCACACAUUUUGCAAAAACCAAUUGAAGUAGUGCAAAUGGAUUCUCCUCCCAUCAUUGUUGGUGAAGAAUAUUCAAGCAAACCAUUAAUACUAGUUCAGUCUUCCCACAUAAAGAAUGUUUGAUUAUGAAUUUCACAGCGUGGAGCUUGCCAGGCAAAACAAGUGUUAACCAGGUAUUAUCACUGAAAAACAGAGUGAACAGAACAUUAAUGAAAUUCACAGUCAGCUCAUCAAACAAGGCAUUUCAAUGCUAUCUGGCUCCAAACCUCCUCUUGCUACAUUGUUGGCAUGUUACCAGUGACCUGUGCUUCCUAUUGCUGUUCAUCUUUGUUACUUGAUGCAAAUAGGGUGACUUGACUAUUGGUAUGUAAAAUGCUCUGGUCAUUACAGCCAUGUUCUCUCUUUACAUCGUGUACUUUAAGGGGCAGAUCAAAUAUAAACUUUGGGUUUGUAAUGUUCUUAACCAAGGUGUAGGCCUUGGGUUAUGUUUGAGAGCGCUCUGCCGAGAUUAGGGCCCCAUUGUCUUAGACACUGCACAACCAGGAUCUGCCUGAGGAGUUUGUAGUCUGUAUAGCGGAGUCACAAUGGGUGGGACGGGGAAUGUGGGUCUGAGUGGCGGAAUGUCUGUGCCUUUUAGCCUUGUGACACGAGCCUGAUUCAGUUUACCUGGGCUCUUAAACUUGCUGCUGUGGGUUUUUUUCCCCCAUUGUAGACAUAGUCUGAGACAGACUGAUGCACAUGUGUGGCUGUUGAUGCCCAACAUUUGAGGUGGUGAUAGUUGCCCUCUGCUUUGGUUCUGCCAAUGGAGUGUGGGAGAGGCGGGGUCAGCCAAAGGCUCAGCAGCUAAUGGCAGGAUGGGGGUAGAUUAGAAGUGCAGAGCUGAGAUAACACAGAGUCUUGCUAGCAUGAGAUGGAGGCAGGGGGUGUGAGUGGGUGAUGACCUUGACAUACCAGCCAUGCCCCAUUUUCCACAGGCUGUGGCUGCAGCAGGGAGCAAGGAACAGCCCCUUUUACCCCAGGACUCUGCAGCAGGGAGGGUUUGUGGAGCAGGCAGUGGGUUCAUGCUCCUUUCUCCCCCAACCUAUGGGUGCAGUGGGAGAGUAUUGCAGGGGGGAUAAUGUGCCCGCUCCUCUCCUCAGACUUGGCACAUAAGGGAGAUGGUGGGCCUGCAUGGUUCUGUUCUGCAAACCACCUGCUGAGAGCAAAUGUCUUGUCUCUGCUUCCCCAGGUGGUGUUGCAGCCCUAUUUCCACAAAUGGAAGCUUAUCAUAGCCCUGCUGUGUGGGGCCUAACCUCUGCUCUCCUUGAUAAGUGUUCUGUGGAGUACAAGGUGUGGAGGGUGGGCAGGGAGACUGAACUGGGUAUUAGUGGGGGAAAGAGAUGGCAGAAGACAUGCUAAACCUGCAAAAAAAAAAACAAACAAAAAAAAAACCCUACAGAAAUUGGGCUUGUUUUUGGCUUAAUUGGCUUGUAAAUUGCUUGUUGGCUGGUUUUUGGCUUGUAGCUUGUUUGGCUUGUUGCUUCUUUUUUUGAUCGGCUCGUGGCAAGCAGGGGCAAGAGGCGGGGGAAGAGAAUCAGGGGUGCACAGAGGGCUCACCACAGUCCCAGACGGCACGCCGGGGAGAUCUAGUCACAUAGAGUGUUGGGGUUCUUAGGGAUUGGCCUGUUUUGGCCUUGUUUUGAAAUGGAAUUAGCUUGAUUUUUGGUUUAUUGUGAAAGUCGGGGUGCUUAUUUACCAUGUGAAAGUUAACAACUGUGGAUGGCAGUGGAGGUAUUGGAGGGCAGUGGGGAUGUUAUGGGACUGGAGGGGGUGAGGUUUGCAUUUGGGAAUAUUGGGAAAAUUACAGUAAUUUGAAAACAUUGGUCCGUAUGGCUUUAAAUGUCCAGGGUGGCAUGUGCACUUCACUUACUGGCUCAGCAAGUCUCUUCUGCUUAACUUGUCAUUAAGGUAACUCCAUACAGCACCAGACCACCAUGUCACAGCCGCACAUCCCUCACCUUCCCCUUAACACUGCAACUCCUUACACUAUCUUCAGUAGUAGCCAGCGUGGCUAGUACUGCACAUUGUUAUGCUGUUCCCGUGUUUGGUUUGCUUAGAUGUGGUAGAGGACACUGACUACUAGGCUCUGCUGCUCCCCCAGAUGCACCCUUUUCCUUUGGGAGGUGGGGGCUCCUCCUGAGCCCCCCACUAGUGCUUCCCUGGCCACAUCCAUAGCAUUGCACUGUGGCUGUUCCCAUGGUCAUGUGAGGGGUCUCCAAGGUCUGGGAUGGGGCUGGGUCCUGCCACUGUCUGCACGGUGAGGGGAUCCCUGCCCAGCGUAGUUACAAACUGCUAUUGGCACAGUUUGCUAGUGGUAGCAGUUACUGACAUCUAGGUGUUCUUUUACUGGCCUGUCACAACUUGCAGCCUCUCCCUUUCCCAUUAUCUAGUCCAGGGAUAGUAAGUGGUGAUGGGUGGGGAUCCAUCUGUCACAAUUUACUCUCUCUCAUCUUUCCCAAUCCUCUGAUGCAGGGGUAACAAAUUGUGACAGAUGGGGAGACAUCUCACUACAAUUUGCUACCAUUGUGAAAUAUCUCUCUCGGAUUUGGACACACAAAACAGUAUUUUGGUAAUCUAGAAAAACUUUCUACAGAGUUAAACCUCAGGCCUAUUGUAUGUAAAGCCCUGAAUGAAAGUGUUGUUUCUUUUAGUCUCUUUCCAUUGUAUAUUAGGCCAUACAGUUUCUAUAAUAAACAUUUAAUGCACUCAAGUGAAAAUAAUGUAAAACUUUAGAGCCUAAAAGUCCACUCAAUCUUACUUCUUGUUCAGUCAGUCACACAGACAAACAAGUUUAAUUACCUUUUCAGGAGAUAAUGCUGUCUGCUUCUUGUUUUCAGUGUCCUCCGGAACGGUGGCCAAAGCAUGAAGGGGCAUAUGGAUGUUUAGGAGACCUGGCAUGUAAAUACCUAACAAUGCCAGCUACAACAAUGCCAUGCGAAUACCUGUUCUCAUAUUCAGGUGACAUUGUAAAUAAGAAGCUGGCAGUAUUAUUUCCCGUAAAUGUAAACAAACUUGUUUGUUUUAGUGAUUGUCUGAACAAGAAGUAGGACUGAGUGGAUUUCUUGGGUCUGAAGUUUUACAUCAUUUUGUUUUUGAAUGCAGUUAUGUAACAAAAUCUACAUUUGUAAAUUGCACUUUCACGAAAGAGAUUGCACUACAGUACUUGUAUGAGGUGAAUUGAAAAAUACUAUUUCUUUUAUCAUUUUUACAGUGCAAAUAUUUGUAAUAAAAAAAUAAAGUGAGCACUAUA